CCAAUAAUAAUUUCCUUCUUAGAUUUCACUGGAAACAGCAACUGAACUUUGAUCAAACGUCCACCAGGUGUGAUGUUCACGAUUUGGUGGGUAGCGACCAUCGCAUGCCUAUCACUGGCGAAGCACGAACGGCAUGCAAUGCAGCCGCAACGUCCGCAUGGAGAUCGUCCUCCUCACCAGCAGAAGAGAAACCGAGAGGAUGAGCCUCUCGAUUCCGCCGAGGUUGUGGCUCCUGGGCUGGCUCGGCGCUGGCGGAGGCUUAAUCGUUGCGUGAUCCACUGGUUUGUGGACUGACAGCGACUGCAGGUCAAGAACGGCAAUCGGCUGUGUAUGAAGAGGGGGUGGCAGCUAGGGUUCUUCUCCAGGAAGAAGAAGUUUUUGAAUCUAGAGAGUGAUUUAUUUUAUACGUGUUAUAUGUUAUAAUAAAAGUAUUUGGAGAAGAAAAAAUAAUUUUCAUAGAUUUAAGUAAUUAUUUAUUUUUAAA
rnacentral:lncRNA from 1 species